rnacentral:rRNA from 1 species
UACGUGAAACUGCUUAGAGGUAAAGAGGUGGGCCCUCGAAAUCCUGUGGUGGGAGCAUUCAGUCGGGAAGUUGAGACGUUGCGCCGAGUUAUGACAAAGAAGGUUCUCGAGACGAGGCCGACUUGGCGCUUCGAUUCGAUUCCGACCGACGCAUUUGCUUCCCGCCCGAAGGACGUCGCAACCGGUUGGGGGAUGGCCUUAAGGGCGAUUACAAGGCAGUUGGUCGGUGGCGUGCACUUGUUGCGUGUCGCCGACUGUUAGCCUUCUCGCACUCGGCUCGUUCCCCGACCGUGGCAAUAAAGAUGCCUUCUUCUAGGCUUCGACGUCUCCUCCCAUGGUGGCGAGUGAAGAAGCGUGGCAGGAGUACGACGGACAGCGGGCGCACGGACUGACUUCGUGGCCCGGCGACACGUCGGCUUCGUUGGCUGCGCAAGGCUCGCGGGAGUGUACGACGGUUGGCGGCGAGUAGAUCGGUCACCCACCUCACCCGUCUUGAAACACGGACCAAGGAGUCCAACACGUGCGCGAGUCAAUGGGACUCGAAUAAGCCCAAAGGCGCAAUGAAAGCGAAGGUCGGAUGACUCCGGCUGUGUUGGGAUCCCGGCUCCACUGCGGGCCGGGCGCACCAGCGACCCGUCCUAUCUCACUUGUGGGUUGGGCGGAGUCUGAGCGCACGCGUUGGGACCCGAAAGGUGGUGAGCUAUGCCCGGGCAGGACGAGGCCAGAGGAAACUCUGGUGGAGGUCCGCAGCGGUUCUGACGUGCAAAUCGAUCGUCAGAU